GCCGGGUCCGGGAGCGGCCGGGGCCGCAGGGGCGGGAGCGGGUCGAGCGGGAUCGUGCCGGGCCCUGCGCCGGGCUCCGGCCGCUCCCGGGGCAGCCCGGCUCGGUCCCCGACACAGCCCCGGGCUCCCUCCCGCCGCCCGGGCCCGGUGCCCCCUGGACCUGCGCUCUUGGAGUGUCGCCCCCAGGGGAUUUCAUUCAUUUAAUCGCCGUGUUGGUCACAACCCCGGCAGUCUGUAACGGACACAGGCCCGCGGGGCGGGGGCGUCCCGCCGGGGACACCGCACCGGCCGGGGGCGGCACAGCAGCGCCCGGCGCCAGCGGCGAGGGCUGCGGAACGUGCGGCAGCUCCGCUCACACGCUCGCUGGUGCGCAGCCCCCCGUGUGCCCCUACCCCUGAACCCCCACCCGGGUGCCCCCAGAUGUGUCCGCCGUUGGCCCGUUCACGGGAAGCGGCCGCACGGGCGGAUCCUGCCGCAGGUCAGGCCCCCGGGCGUAGCUGAGCCUCUGCCCAGCCCCGCUGAUCCCAGAGCUGGGGCCCGGCCCGGGGGUGCCGGGGGAUCGGGCAGCGCCAGCAUUACCGGCACCGCGCCCACGGCAGCGCCGCCUGCCCGGUCCCUCCGCGCCGGCGCGGGUGGGUGGGAGGAGCGGCGCUCCCCCAGCUCCCUCUGCUCCCAACCGUGAGGUCACCCCGGCCCAGCCGCUGGGCCAGGAGCCUCUGUGUGCAGAGAUCCCCAGCCGUGGAUCCUCCACGAAGCUCCACCGGCACAGGCCCACGGCACCCGGCUGCCAUUCCUCCCUGGUGCAGAGCAGGAGAUGCCGGCACAGACAGAGCUUCCCGGGGAAGCUGCUUCCCCUCGCUCAGGCCAUUCGCUCCAUUAGGGUUUGGACCUUCUGCCAGAGGGAUCACCGCCGGGGCCGAGACAGGCGAUGCCCCGACACAGCGUUCGGGAUUUCCUCGGUGACCAGCUGCCUGUCUGAGGCCGUGUGAGAGCUUGGUCGAGCAGAAAGGCAAGUGGUCGGCAGACCGCUUCCGGGAGUGCGGAGAUGAAACCCUCACACCAGGCACGAUUUCCUCCCGAAAAGCAGGACUUUGGGCAAUAAUCCAGCCAUUCAGGGCCCUUCAGCACUUGCUGCACAGAGACAUGGUGGAGCAGCUGCUGCAGAGCCAGAGGGACCAGGAGCAGAGUGAGCUGGGAUGCGUCUGCCACCUCCCCGACACCCUGGGUGAGGGUGCUAGUCCACAGGAGGUGCUGGUGGCCCUGCUGGUGACAGCUGCCAGGCCAGGGAACUGAGGUGAGACCAUGCACUUUCCCCCCAAACACUGCAUGGCCCCUCUCCCUGCUUGUGCUCCUCAUGGCCCUAAUGCCCUCCCAUGCCCUGCCCUCCCAUCUCAUGUCCCUACUGUCUGGUGUCCCCCAUGCUGUCCCCUCCCAGGGCUGGCUUCUGUCCCUCCAGUGCCGCAAGUCCCCUGAGCUGUCUCUGUGUCCAUGGUGCCUGAUGUCUCCAUGCCAUCUCCUCUUCAGCUGGGGUGUUUCCCCUCUGGCACCCCGCAGUGGGUGCUGGGGCACACCCGGGGCUGCGCUCCACUCUGGCUGGCCCUGCAGCCCCCCAGCAAUAAACCUGUGAUGGGCACAAGUGAUGAGCUCCGCUCCCUGCCUGUGGUGACACGUGGCCCCAGCACCUAUCCCUGCCUGACCUUGACCAUCCCAGCAGCUCCUGCCCCCCAGUCCCUGCUCCCUACCCACAUGCAGUCCCUUGUGCCCCCCCCAGACCAGGGCAGCCCCAGUGGCCCCCCAGGUCUCUUCCUCGGAGCAGCAGUGGCUCAGAGAAACCCUGUGGGGGGCAGCUCAGGGCAGGCACAGCAAACCCAGCGCCAGGCGGGUGCGUCUCAGCAGAGGCACAGGGCAGGGGUGAGACUGGCGGGUGCUGGGGUAAGGAGGAGACUGAGCCAUGGCUACAACAGCAAAUGUUUAUGGGGUCUGGCCUGGUGUGUUGCAGGUAACAGGGCGCAGCGACAUGCUGGGCACAGAGAUUAAUAAAGCUACAGGGGGAGCUGGGUCCCGCAGGGCUGGUGCUGUCUUGGUCCAGCUCAGUGCCGGAACUGCGGCAGUGGGGUGGGGAUGCGGAUGUCCUGACCCUUCUCCAGCCGCCGCUCACAGUCAAUCAGGUAGUUCACACCAUCUAUCACCAGCUGCACCAGCUCCACCUGCACCAGGAGCACACACGUCCUGACUCGGGGGCACCUGUCUGUCCCCACUGCACGAGGGGUGGCAGUGCCAGUCCCCAGUCCCCAUGUGCUGCCUUAGCACAUGGCCCUGGAGCUGUUCUGGUGCCACAGACCCACCAGACACACGUUCUCCAGAACCUCCCUCCCCAAAAGCAGCUCUGCCCAGCACCCACCUCUGACUUCCCCAGCCGGUCCAGGUUGGAAAUGUCAAAGACGCUGCCAGUAGCCGCAGUGUCCACACCACCUGUCCCACGCUUCUGUAGCCGGAGGUUCUCCAGGAUCUUAGGGAAGCGGCUGUCCUGGUGCCCAGAGAAGGUGUCAGUGCUCAGAGGGGCCACCAGCAAGGCAGUCGGGGCUCUGUGGCUGACUGACCCUGGGCAGCCUCCUGCUGUUCACUGGACCCUGUCAGGGGGCUCAAAAUUCCACAGAGAGCCCUGUCCUGAGCAGAGCCAGGGUGACAUCUGGAUUCCUAGCCCCUUCAGAUGCAGCCUGGACCAUACGCAUCCUGGGGGAACCCAAGGGAGGCCCAGAGCAGGUCCCAUGCAGUCCCGCACCCCUGCAGGACUGAGCGCCCAGCAGCCGGGGUUCCCCGGCUCCCACAGAACCAGCCGUGGUGAUACCUUGCUGAGCAGCGGCAGCUUGAUGUGGACACCCGCUCGCAGGCCAGUGCCCAGGUUGGAGGGACAGGUCAGGAUGUAGCCCAGCCGCUCGUUCCACAUGAACUCCCAGCCUCGCUCCUGGAUCAGCCGCUCCACCUGGCUCGGAGGCACAAAUGCCGCUCAGCCCUGGUGUGCCCAGCCCCAGCAAGACAGCCUGUCCCUGCGCAGGCCCUGGGGCCCCGUGUGCCCCUCUGCCUGGCCCCUGGAGCUGCUCACCUCCUUCAGGCCCCGACAGAACCGCUCGAAGACGCGCUUCAUGUUGCCUCCCUUCUCCAUGGAGAUGAUGCGUGUGUGGUCCUCCUCGUUGAUCCAGAUCAGGAAGGUCUUUUCGUUGUUGUGCCUAGGGACAGGUUCGUGUGCGGCUGCACUGGUGGCCAGCAGAGCCCCUGUGCCCACCCAGCCACCCGUGCCAGCCCUGUGCACAUGGUGCCAGCACUGCCCCAUGGCCGCGCUGCUCUCCCUGUGCCCAUAGCUGGGGCUGCGUUGCCAGAACACAGCCCAGCAGUGAGGCAGAGAGCCAGGAGAUGCUCCUGGAGACAGGCCAGCAUUCAUCCACAUGUGCCACUGCGGGUGACCAGUGCUGGCUCCGGUGCUGUGGGUGCAGGGAAAUGCUGCUAGGGAGGAGCAGCAUGUGCCAGUGUCAGUGUGGUGGCAGCCCUGCCCAGCCUGGGGACAUGAGCUCAGCUCCUGCACUGCGCAGGGAGCAGGAGGAGGCUGGGGCGUGGGGUGCGUGUUGGAACGCUGGGUUAGGGGUGGCUGGAGCUGGAGAGUGGGUGUGCUGGGAGGUGUUUUCCACGAGGCUGCUCUAACAGCGCUGUGGCAGCAAGGGUGGCGUGGGCAACUGCGUGUGCCGGCUGUCACUCUGCGGGUGUGUGGGAUGCUGUGUGGGAUGCUGCAUGGCUGUGCUGAGAUGCUGGGAGGGAGCAGUAAGUCGCAAUUGUAGCAGGAUUAGUUGGGGGUAUGUAGGGUGUGCAGAAAGCAGGAGGAGCACUGGGUAUGGCCUGGAGACCAGAAGGCAGUUACAUGGCUUUGGCCGCCUGGAGUUCAAGGUGCUGCAGAAUGGUGACAGCGGGAAGGGUCGGCAGCAGGGGCUGGCUCUGAAGUCCCACUUCUUAGGAGGCUGCUGUGGCUUGUGUAUGGAGUGUCUGGCAGCUGCGUGCAGCGCACAAGGGUCUCCCAGGUCAGGCAGGAGCAGGAAGAGCCCAGCUCUGCGUGACCACAGAGCUGGCACUGGUGCUGCUCGCACUGGGGUCUGCACUGUGGCCGGCACAGAGACCGCAGUGGCGGUGCUGGAGCAGCUAGACGGAGCAGUGUCCCCCACCUUCCCGUCCUGCUGACUGCCCGAUGCCAGGGCAGAUCCUCACCAGAUCCCUCGGGCGUCAGGCCAGUCCCGGGCCAUUCCUGCUGCAGUCAGGAGCGGGGACACCGGCUUGUCGAAGAGGAAGUGGUCCUGGAGGGAGGCAGAGCACAUGGGCUCACUGGGGCUGUGUGGCCGGUGCCAGGACACCUGUCUCAUUGGUGCCAGGCUACUGGACAGGGUAUGCACCACGGCUGUUCCAGGCAGGGUAAGCUCGCCAGCUUUCCCCAGCUGUGGGUAGGAGUCCCUGCUCCCCUGGGAGGAGGCAGAGGGCUGCUGGUGCACUGCCCAUCCCACAGCAGGGGCUGGUGCCACUGCCCACACUUGGGCAGGGAUGUGGAGCAAGAGCCAGAGGGAGCUGAUAGCUGCUUGGGCUGCGUUCAGCGAGCUCCAUCCUCACCUGGCUCAGGAGGGCUGGGCAGGAUCACAAGCACCCUCUGCAUGGCAGGGUGGCCUUGCUGGGGAGGGGUCCUGCUCCCACGGGACAGUGGGGCUGGGACAGGAGCACCCCGCCACCUGGAGAGGGACUGCUGGGGAAGGGGUCUGGCUCCGUGGGCUGCACCGACUCACGUCAAUGAGUUGCUGCUGCUCCCUCUCCGUCAUCUCGCUGAGGCGGUAAUACCGGCCCGCCAGGUCCCCGGUGAGGCCAUUCAGUGCCUCCACAGUCACCUUCUCCACCUCCCGCCGCUCAGCGCGGGUGCAGGCUGGCGGCAGACUCAGCCCACGGAUGCUGCGCCCAGUCCGGACACGGGAUGAGAGCACAUAGCGCUCAUCAAAGUGGCCAAACUUUAUCUGCAACAGACACAAGCCAUGGGUCACUUAGAGGGUGGCACUGGUAGGGCCCUGUCCCCGAGGCCCAGGGAAAGACACCAUGUGUGGCACCGCUGCCCGGCCCACACACCUUGGUGGCAUCCAGGUCUGUGGUGUGCUUCAUGGUGCGGGGGUUGUACCCGUUGUGCCGGUCCUGAAUCACAGGGUCAAACAGGUCAGCAAACACCUGGAAGUGAGCAGCACAGUGUGCAGCACCGCAGAGCCAGCACUGCGCAGCCCCGCCAGGAGCUCAGCGCGGUCCUGCUGCCUGCACCAGGGCACGUGGCAGCAGGGGCGUCCAGCGGGUGAGCGGGGCCAUGGUGGUCCUGCAGUGCAAUGGCAAUCCCUACGGCCAGCGCUGCCCAGGUGAGCAGGGCUCCAGGGCCAGGAGGAGCAGGUUGCAGGGCUCUGGAAACAGCUGCUCCCAGGGAGCCCUGUGUCCCACGGGGAUGUGCUAGGGCUGGCCAAGGGCUGGGUAGAGGAGGUGGCAGUGACCUCCGAGGCUGUGGGACGUGCUGCAGGGACUGGGGCAGCUCUGGCUGCUGCAGGUGCCUGGAGAGACCAGAGCAGGACAGGGCUGAGGCCACACUCACCUCAUAGCUUUCUUCAUCGCCAGCCACCAUGCCCACAGUCUUGAUGAAGGGGUGGCCGGGGUUGUCAACACCUGUCUGGAUGCACUGGUCCAAGGUCCAGCCGUUCGGGGUGGCUUUCUCGCAGAGCCGGGCAUAGAUGGCUGGUGUCAGGCUGCUGGCCAUGCAGUUGUUGUGCUUCCGCAGGUCGGGAUACUCAGCGCUGCAGGAGGAGAGACUGACGGGUCCCUUGGGGCCUGGGGACCCCAGCACUCAUGCCCUUACCACACAGAGACCCUCAGGCAGGUGUAGGCAGGGGAGCUCUGGGGAUGGAGGUCAAGCUGCUUUGCUCGUCCACUCCAGCAAAGGGCAGUGGAAGCAGGAUGCAGUCACCAGCAUGGCACAGUGAGGGCAGGGAGCGGCCCGGGCCGAGGGCUGACAUUGCCACAAGGACAGGAUUCCAUGAGCAAAUCUGAACCAGUCGUUAGGGUGCGGCUCCUUAUCAGCCACGUACCAGGGCCCGGGACUGGGAGCACUUGCUAGGCGAGCGGUGGUGGCCACGUCACCCCACACGGAGGCACAUGCAGCCUGUGGUCUGCGCUGCCAGGGCAGCCAGGCUGGGGGAACUCACUCCCACUCUCCCAGGGGCUGCCCCAGGCCAGCCCAAACUGAAGUGGCUGCUGCCACUGUCCCUUCAGCCUGUGCAGCCAGUGGGAGUGGGGACACACGACAUACAGUGACUGCCCCCAGGCCCCCACCGGGUCCCCCAACCCCCAGAUGCCAGGGGCAGGAGAUCGGUUGACCCCGAUCUGCAACUGGUGGGAACCGCACUGCUCUGGUACAGUUUAUUGUAUUAGGGGGAUGCUUUUCUCUAAUCAGCUUAGCAGGAGGCUGUCUGCUGACCUCAUUCCCACUUUAGAUGGGCUUUGUGCUUGUUCUGCGCUUGCAGGGGGAUUGGCAGGGCAGGACCUGACAGCACUCUCCUUGGCCAAACCCUCUGCUGGAAGCUGGUGCCUCAGCUUGCCUGAGCGGGACAGGACUGGCUCUUGUUAGCCCAGGAGACCUGGCUGGUGUCCCAAGGGGUCCCACAGUCCUGGGGACACCUGUGUCCAUGUGGGAGAUGAGGAGCUGGAGCUUGUGCAGUCCGGGUCAGUGGCAGCCGCAGCUGGACACUGUCCCCAGCAGCGCAUCCUAGCACUGUCCCAGCACCCAGGUCCUGCUCCUGGCCCAGCAUCUGCGCAGGGCCGGGUCUGGCUGCCAGCAUCAGCCCCGUGCUGCAAUGCAGAGCUGCUGUCACUGCCGCCACCUCCCCUGCGUCUGCAGGCCAAGGAAUGUGCGUUGGCCCUUCGCCUACGGCUUGGCUACUGCUUCUGGCUUCCUGCACUUUGCAGAACGGGAGGCAGGGCUCACAUUGUUUGCUCGGCACAGGGCAGCACUGGCAGCUCCAGCCUGGACCAGUGCAAGGAGGCGUUUGCUCCUGGAGGGUACUCGUUCCAGGUCAUGCAGGAGGAGGGCUGCUCCCCCAGCCCACACACAUCUGCACUGUGUUGAGAUGCUCCAAUUCAGAGCCUGAGUCCUUGUACAUGGGACGCAGACUGCCCCAGCUUCCCCCACUGCUCCCGUCCCUGCCAUCAGCUGGCUACGGACCCAUCUCCCCAGGGACGGACACUCCGGUAAAAAACAUUUGCUGAUGAGAAUGGGGCAUUUGGAAAAGUUCCUCCCUGGUCUCCCGGACAGCUCAUGCUGCCUGGCACACCAGGACCACAGCCUGCUCUGCUGCCCACCGGUGCCAGGGAACGCCUCCAGAGAGCCAGCAAAGGCUGCUGAGGGAAGCCAGCUUACUUCAGGAAGCAGAAGAUACUGUAGGUUUAAUCAUGCUGCCUGCUACGAUCAGUCUGUACCUUCACUGAGGUGUUCAAGAGUCCAGAACCCUGAGAAACCCCGGCCCCUGCCUGCGGGGUCUGUGCCUGCUGCAGGGCUGAUGUAGCCCCUGGUCUGAACUCACCCUCUCCAGGACAGCCUGAAUCACACUCAGCAGCUCUGGGGAGUCCCUCAGCCUGUCCAGAGCACCUGAGUCAGGCUGGGCAGUACCAGGACCUGAGGGCAGCACAGAGUGAAGGUGCUGAGCACUCGAUGCUGUGCUCGCAGUGGUGCCCGCAGAGCCAGAGCUGUGGGGACAUGGCCUGUCCGUGCUGUGUCACAGGGUGGCUGGAGCAGCAGGGACUGCGUUCACCCCACACCCCCUGGGUGUCCAGGUGUGCUCUGUCACAGGCAUUGAGGCGACACUGCACUUGGCCUUAGUGGGGCUGCCUUGGCCCCUUGGUUUUUGUCCUCAAAGCUGGUUUUUGAAUUCUGACUCUUUUAGCACUAUCCUUUGUUCCCAGUGCCAUGUGGCCAAGCAACAGGGUGGGCUCCCUCCGGCUCCUGGCCACAAUGUCUGCAAGUGUCUCCAGCAGAAUGUGGACAUUUGCCAGGAGCGGGACUCAGCGCUGCCAUCCUGCCCAUGCUGUCCUGCCUGCGCCCUCAGGGUGCAGCAACCACCUCCUGCCCUUGUGCAAGGAGCCGCUUCACCCUGAGACCUGCCAGGUGCCAGCAGCUAUUAUCAGUCUGUCUACUGCCUGGGCAGCGUCUCCUGGAGCAGCAGCUCCCUGCAUCUCCCUGCUGCUCUUCAGUACUAAUCCAGCAGCCUCCUGUGCCCUUUCUGGUGUCACUGGCUCUGCAGGUGCCCACAAUGAUGGCAGCUCCUACUGCACGUGGCCCCUCAAGAGGUGUGGGGACACGUGGGGACACAUGGGGUGAGCGGCUGGUCCCGGCGCAGUGGCGGCGCAAGCGUAGGUGCUGGCAGUUGCUGCAGGCAGCAGAGCGAGCGGCUUGUUUACGCAGGGAGGAGGGGGCUUGGGCUUUGUGCAGAGACACUUUGGCGGGAGCCCCAGCGUGACUAUCCAAAUGUGGUGCUGUUCCCGGUGCAGGACCCCACAGGCAGUGGGCAUGUCCCUGCCCACGGCUCCUCGGGGGGAGUCCCUGCCCCCAGCGAGGCCGUUUACGCUGCGGCACUGUGCACAGCGCUGCUCAGAUCCCUCAAGGCUACUGCUGACAUCUCUCGUUAUUUAACUUAAAGACUGGAGGAGCAAAAUACCCAGGUGGGUUGACUUGCCCACGCAGACCAGGAUGCUGUGGCUCAGCCCCAGGGCUCUGUCCAGGCUCUUUUCAAGUGUCAGCACCCUCACAAAGCUGUUCCCAGCCAAACAGACCAUCCCAGAAAGCUCAUUUUAGAGCUUCUCAGCCACAACCCUUACCCUGAUUUAAUCCCCUCCUCCAGACUCACCUCGGCCCCCUCCUUCCCAUGGAUAGUGCCUGCCUGUGCCUCCAGCCCUGUCCUUGUUUUCAGCAUCAACGUUCUGACCUGACGCUUCUCCGCAGCCACAGCAGCACAGCCAGCUUGGCCCCUGCCUGCCGCCACAACAAGGACACAGCCUUUGUUUUGUGUGCACAAGGGGACGCUUGUGUGUCCCGGUUUAGUGGGGACAGGCCAGUUCUCCUUAGGACCCGGUGCCCGUGCAGCAGCAGGACACAGCGUGCUGGCCUUUCCCACACCAACCAGCAGCUCUUACAGCUUCCACUGCUUCUCUCUCACCAUCCUCACUCAGUGAAGACCUGAUGUCUGUGGCCCUGCAGUUGUUCAGAAAGCUUGAAAAUACAACCCUCUUGGGAGGUGAUAAACAAUAA